ACGACUAUAUCAUGAUGAAACACCGGUUCUCGUACAAUCACCGAAGUUAGGCAACGUCGCGCCUGAUCAGUACCUAGAUGGGUGACCGUAUAGAAAUACCAAGUGCCGUAA